AAAACAAGUGAAACUCCAAAAAUCGAUAACAUUUUUAUUUAUCUACGUUUCGACUAUAUUUCAGUCAUCAUCAGGAUAAACUAGCUAGGUUAUAUAUCAAAAGCGGUAUUUAUAUGAAGAAAUAUGAUACAAUAGUUAGGUUGAUUAAUGAAAUAUGAUUAGUUCUUUAGAAGCUUUAAGUCCAUGAUUAAGUUCAGGUUUAUAUCUUUGAAUAGCGAGGGAUUCUUGAUAUAGUAAAAGGGACCAAUGGUUAGAUUUAUCAAUUAUUUUAGUGUUGUUGAAAACAUGUUCAGCCAUUAUACUGGUUUGAUCAGACUUUGCGUCAUCGUCGGGAUAAAGUUCUAAAAGGGCUUUAAUAUGUUGAAACUGCUCGCAAGUAGAGAGGUGUUGAUGGAUUACAGAUUCUGUGUGAUAUGAAUGUUCCUUAGUUCUGGAAUGUUUCUUAGAUCAUAUUUCUUCAUAUAAAUGCCGCUUUUGAUAUAUAAC